AUUAUACAGAAACAUGUCAUUGACAUAUGAUGUGUAUCAUAACAUACAUUUAUACAAUUAUAUAUGAUAGCAAUUUCAUAUAAUUUACACUGACCCGGCCCAUUGGACCUAUAUGUCACUUCAGCAAUAUAUAUCAUAUUCGAAAACUGUAAAAGAUUACAAAAUAAAAAUACAGAAAUAGAAGUAAAGUUUUUUUGUGGAUGAAUGUUGAAUUUACAAAUUUUACCGGUUAGGUCUUAGAAGUUGAAUAUAGAACAAGUUUCUUUGAGAAAAGAAAAGAAAGCAACUUGUUUUACAUACAACUUAUAAGAUCUAGCCAACUGAUAAAUAGACAAGAAUUAAAACACAAAUUAAAAAUUAUAAAACAUUUAACCAAAAUAAUAUAUGAACCCUAGACAGCUGACUGAAUGGUCACCAAAUAAUUGAUGUUUGCUUUUGAUUUGAAAUAAGUGACUGUGAAUAAAAUAAGAUAUUGAUUUGAAAUAUGUAAAUGUCUGUAGAUUCUUGCAAAAGUCAGUUGAAAGCAAUGUUGGACAGUUGUAAAUAGAAAAGUGUAUAUAUACAGCUACUAUUUCAAUUUACAUUUUAAGGCUCGACUACUUUAUUUUAACUUUGGAGGGUGCAUAAUUUUUUCAUUCACCAACGACACUACUAACUACAGACUCCUGACUUGGGACAGGCACAUAUAAAAUGUGUAGUUUCUUGUGUAUAAUGCGGAGUUUGGUAUGACGUUCAUUGUCACUUAACCAGUGUACUUAUUUGUUUGGGGGCCAGCUGAAGGAUUCCUCGGGGUGCGAGAGUUUCUCACUGCAUUGCAGAUCCAUUAAUGGCCUUCGGCUGUUGU
rnacentral:lncRNA from 1 species